GUCCUUCCGGACAUCCAUACAAAUUGAAACCAUACAAAGAAGAUUAGCAUGACCAUGAUAUAAGGAUGACAAGCACAAAUCUUAGCUCUUUACAGUUAUU
rnacentral:snRNA from 1 species